rnacentral:rRNA from 1 species
UUUCUGCGAAACCUAUAAUAGUAGGCAAUUUAAGUAUAAUAUCUUAGCAGGUACAGAAUUUAAUCUCAGACAAGACAUUAAAUGUUUUAUUUUGUACAAAUUGGGGGAUCAUGAAGAUUUUAUCAGUGAGUAUGCAGACUCGGAAUGGCAAAGAUAUAUCUUAAAUCAUCAGACAUAGAAUGAUAAGGUUGUAUGUCAAAAGGGAAACAGCCCAGAACAAGAGUUAAGGUUCCUAAAUUAUUCGUUGAGUGAAAUUAAGAAGGUUUUUAUUAAAGUCGACAAGGAGAUAGGCUUAGAAGCAGCCAUAAUUUUAUGACCUCGUAACAGAGCGCUUGUUAAGUUUUAAAAGCAUCGAAAAUUUACAGGAUCUAAAAAAUAUACCGAAAAAUUUUCAAUAUUAAUUUAUAAUAAAAAUUUAAUU